rnacentral:rRNA from 1 species
GAUCAUGGCUCAGGACGAACGCUGGCGGCGCGCCUAACACAUGCAAGUCGAACCAGAGAUGAGGAGCUUGCUCUUCAGAUCGAGUGGCGAACGGGUGAGUAACGCGUGAGGAACCUGCCUCAAAGAGGGGGACAACAGUUGGAAACGACUGCUAAUACCGCAUAAGCCCACGGCUCGGCAUCGAGCAGAGGGAAAAGGAGCAAUCCGCUUUGAGAUGGCCUCGCGUCCG